UUUCUAUGGAGAGUUUGAUCCUGGCUCAGGACGAACGCUGGCGGCGUGCCUAAUACAUGCAAGUCGAGCGGACCGGAUGGAAGCUUGCUUUCAUUCGGUUAGCGGCGGACGGGUGAGUAACACGUGGGUAACCUGCCCGUAAGACCGGGAUAACUUCGGGAAACCGGAGCUAAUACCGGAUAACACCGAGGAUCGCAUGAUCCUUGGUUGAAAGGUGGCUUCGGCUACCACUUACGGAUGGGCCCGCGGCGCAUUAGCUAGUUGGUGAGGUAACGGCUCACCA
rnacentral:rRNA from 1 species